rnacentral:rRNA from 1 species
AGCAGCCGCGGUAAUUCCAGCUCCAAUAGCGUAUAUUAAAGUUGUUGCAGUUAAAAAGCUCGUAGUUGAAUUUCGGGGUCAGUAGAUUGGUCAUGCCUCCGGUAUGCACUGGUCUUACUGGCUCCUCCUUCCUGAUGAACCGUAAUGCCAUUAAUUUGGUGUUGCGGGGAGACUGGACUGUUACUUUGAAAAAAUUAGAGUGUUUAAAGCAGGCUAACGCUUGAAUACAUUAGCAUGGAAUAAUGAAAUAGGACGUUCGAUCUUAUUUUGUUGGUUUCUAAGAUUGACGUAAUGAUUAAUAGGGAUAGUUGGGGGCAUUAGUAUUCAAUUGUCAGAGGUGAAAUUCUUGGAUUUAUUGAAGACUAACUACUGCGAAAGCAUUUGCCAAGGAUGUUUUCAUUAAUCAAGAACGAAAGUUAGGGGAUCGAAGACGAUCAGAUACCGUCGUAGUCUUAACCAUAAACUAUGCCGACUAAGGAUCGGAUGAUGUUAAUUUUUAAUGACUCAUUCGGCGUCCG